UGGCCAAAAGACUAAUAGAGAUUAUAUUCAUCAAGAAAGAUGGAUAAUAGUGACAAUCACUUAAAAUGAUACUAUUAGACUUGAAAACAAGCUCGACAACUCCUAAAAUCUGGAUUGGAACUUGAGUUCUAUCUUCCAUAUUUAGGAAUCUCUCGUCGUUCUCAAAUUUUCUACUAAUUUGAAGUCCUUACAAUGAAUUGCAUAUG
rnacentral:lncRNA from 1 species